rnacentral:lncRNA from 1 species
UGAGUCUGGUCUACCACCGUCGUCCUGCCCAGCGAUGAAAUCUCAUCAACGGGUUCAAAGUCAGUGAGUGAUUGACGUUGCUAUUUAUGAUCGGUUUGCAUGCGUGGGUGGAUUGUUUGGUGUUGUGCCAUUCGCUGCCCCGUUUUAGUAUCUGCACCGCAGAGUUGAGAGUUCAGAAUAACAGUUGUGAGGAACACAUGGAUCACUGUGUAUUUUGCUUUUUAAAGAUUUGCAAUUUCGGUGUGUGUUUUGUAUACGAAGUUGUGGAUCAAGUAAUUUAAUCAAGUCCAUUAUUUGAGCCAAUGGAAUUACUGCAGAUGUUGGCUUUUUUGGCUUGAUCUUGUUCUACUGUGUGCUGCGUGCGUUUAGUUCAUGUUUUGCCUAAUGUUAUAGGCUUGCUUUUACCUUCAUUUUCUUUUAAGUUUUUGGUUCAUGUAAUAACUGUGUGGUGGUUUUUUAAUGGAAAAAUGCUACAUCGACGGGCUCUUUACGGGGUUUUCAACGGACUCUCCCAAACUAAACUUGCCCCCCCCCCCCUCCCCUCCCUCUCAUUUUCAGGAAGGCAGGGCCCCUCUCCCCCUUANNNNNNNNNNNNNNNNNNNNNNNNNNNNNNNNNNNNNNNNNNNNNNNNNNNNNNNNNNNNNNNNNNNNNNNNNNNNNNNNNNNNNNNNNNNNNNNNNNNNNNNNNNNNNNNNNNNNNNNNNNNNNNNNNNNNNNNNNNNNNNNNNNNNNNNNNNNNNNNNNNNNNNNNNNNNNNNNNNNNNNNNNNNNNNNNNNNNNNNNNNNNNNNNNNNNNNNNNNNNNNNNNNNNNNNNNNNNNNNNNNNNNNNNNNNNNNNNNNNNNNNNNNNNNNNNNNNNNNNNNNNNNNNNNNNNNNNNNNNNNNNNNNNNNNNNNNNNNNNNNNNNNNNNNNNNNNNAAAAAUUCCCCGUAAAACAUUCGUAAUGGUUCGUUGAUGUAGCAUUGCUCGAAAAAUGGUUUUACCAUUGUGUAGUCGUGUGAGACCAUCAUUUACUUUCAGCCGGUUUUCAGAUCUAUGGACUCAAACUCAAGAGGACUUCAGGCAGGUGUGCAAUUGGAUCUGUCAUGAACAACUCAUGGCAUUCAUGUCAAAAACAAAAUUGCAGCUACCAGGGAUCAUGCAUUCAUACUGCCCCUUCUGCUUUGACUUCUUUCAGCCUAAGCAGGAGGUGAACUGGGCCAUGGCCCGGUCCAGCUGAAGUACAUAAGGGGGCAUAUUUGGCUCGGACCGCUGAAGACCAAACAAUCAGUAGCACUUAGGCAGGAGAGAACCUGCUUAGUCAGGUACAUGGAUUUACACAGGUAAAGUUUGAACAAUGCUUUAGAGAAGAUAACGAGGUAGCUCAUGUAUAGCUAAACAUAGUUUUUUUUUGUGUGAAAAGGAUCCAGAUUUACUCCCUCCAUUCCUAAAUAUAAGCCCUUUUAGAGUUUUCAAUAUGGACUACGUGCAGAGCAAAAUGAGUGAAUCUACAUUUAAAAUAUGUCUAUAUACAUCCUUAUGUAGUGUAUACUGAAAUCUCUAAAAAAGACAUGUAUUUAGGAACGGAGGGAGUAUUAUAAAGGUUCACCAGAAGUAAAAUUACAAAGCACCACAAACAUAAUAAAAAUUACAUUAAGGUCCAUUAAGCAUCGAACGACCACUGACCACCAGAACGAUCCGACGACGUGUCGUUGUCGUUGCUCCCAUACCGAAGCCGGCUUGACUUUGUCGAUCAUAGCUAGAAAGUCUUGGUGCACAUGCCCCUAAGGACCAGCGCCCCGGAUUUGCAAUCGUUGUUGUAGAUCCCUUGAAUCGAUCGGAAGAACCUAACAUCAAAUAUCAUCAUUGCGUACGCAUGCCGAUAAACCCUACCCUUGCCGACCCGAGGAGCAAACGAGAAUCUACGCCGGAGGUUUGUCGAUACGUCCCAACGGACAAACUCGAGAAGAAUCGAAGCCCGAAAGACCGGCUCGAAUAUGUAGCAUCGCCCAUAGGAGGACUAAAACCCCAACCUAUCUAUUAGCCGGAGUCGACCCAUGAGGAUUGCCCUCCUUGCAUCCGGUCAUCUGUGAGGUGGAGCACUUCUUUUCCUCUGGCAGGCUGAUCUGCCAGAGACUCAUCCCUCUGGGAAGGGGAAUUCGAAGCCAUCGUCAUCACUAACACUUCGAUCAUCAUUGGGACCAAUGCAUAUCCUGACUCGUUAAUGUGUCAGAAGGCCAACACAUCUAGUUAAUGGCAACAUUAUCAAGUGAACCAACAACUCAAAAAAAGAGUAAAGCAAAGCUACCCGAGCUAGCCAUCUGCACGCGUUGAUGGGCCAUGCCACGGGAGGCAGCGUGUGAGCAGAGCGCCGGUUGAUCCUAAUGCCGCACAAGGAGCCAACAAGGAGGAAGCUCAAGCUUUGGUUAAUCACAUGCUGUUCGACGAUAUUGAAUUUUAAUAAAGGGUGUGGCUAGGUCUCAAUCGGCUGAGAUUUAACACUAUCUCAGUCAAAUGACAUAACAUGCAAGAGAGAAAAAACUGAAAAAUAAAUUUUGCACAAAUCUUAAUAUAAGAUCCGACGGAUAUAACAUCGACUGAGACUUAACGAAGUCUUAGUGUCGAGUAAGACUUAACGAAGUAUCAGUCGACUAAGACUUAACAAGACAAAAAGUGGUUUUCCCAUAAUAGGAAAACUAGGACCGGCAGUAUGCAUAUGAUCUCUGGUAGCUACCAUUUGCUUCUAGAAAAAAAAGAGCUACCAUUUGCCUACGACGUGAAUGGCAUGAGUUGUCCAUGACAAAUCCAAUUGCACACUUUCCUCAGUUUCUCUUGAGUUUAAGUUCACGGAUCAGAAAAUUGACUGGAACUAAUGGCAAAAUCACAUUGUCCUUAUCAUAUCAAUCGUCUGGAACAGCUGCAGUGUACUUCGGUUGACAAAAUCGACUUGAUUUAAAUUACUUGAUUCAUAAAAACCUUUGUACUACAAGAGAACUCACCGAAAUUACAGAAGCAAACACACCAACCACACCCACACACUUGCCUGACACACACGCGUAGAGCUGUUAUUAUGAACUCUCAGACUGCAGUGCAGAUACUAAAAUGGGGCAGCGAAUGGCAGAAGACCAAACAAUGCACCCACCCAUGCAAACCGAUCAUAAAUAGCAACGUCGAUCACUCACUGUCGCUGGGCAGGAGUACAAUGGUAGACUGGACUCAGUGGUGUCCGUGGUAUCCACCGCCGCCGCCUCCGCCGUAGGUGGGGGUGGGAGGGACUGGGUGGUAGUCCGGGUGGGGCUGCGGCUUGGGCUCGGGCUUGGGCACGGGGCCGUAGUCCGGGUGGGGCUGGGGCUUGGGCUCCGGCUUCGGCGGCACAUGCUUCUUGUGGUGGAAGUGCUCGAUGAUGUGCUUCUUGAUCGGCCCGCAUAGGGUCAUGGACGCACACUCCGGCGAUGCGGCAGACGGCGUGGCGGCGUUCUCGCCAGCGACGACGCCGUACGUGGUGCCCUCGGACACCGGCACGAUCUUGGACGGCUCCUGGCCGGGGCAGGGCGCGUUGGAGACGGCGCUGUGGAGCUGAGCGACGCAGUCGGCGCCGUGGAGGUUGGCAGCCAGGGGCACGCUGAAGGCGCCGGUGCCGUCGAGGCCGCCCACCGCCUUGCUCUCGUACUCGCCGGCGCUGUUCUUGCACUUGAUCGCCACCUGCACAGCCUUGAAGGCUUCCUCGGUCUGCAUGUUCUUCCUGGUGCAGUCGGCGCACUUGGCCAGGCCGACGACGACUGACGCCGCCUCGGUGUUGGCGACGGCCAUCGCCAGCAGGACGCAGAGGGCGAGUGCUCUCGGAGUCGCCAUGCCUAAACUUGUGUGGAUCGCACUACUGCCACUUGCUGGUGUGAAGUGCCUGAUGGAUGAAUGGUGGAUGGAUGGAUGAGUGGAUGUAACAGGCGACGCAUGGCUUAUAUAGGCAUCGGCGUUGAUCGGCGCGGCAGAGCUCGAAUGCUCGACCGGCGUUGAUCUGUCUGCAAGCGCAGAAGAAGAAGGGUGGCCGGCGGGCGCAGUGAAGCGAGACAACGAGAGAUGAGCUAAUUCGCUUUCGGCGCGCCGAAGUUUCUGAUGGCGAAUUAAUAUCGGUCGUCGUUUCGAUCCACGUCAUUGUUCGGUUGGUGUUUUGAUGAUCGUUUUGUUUUUAAAAACAAAUACUUCAUCCGUUUAGGUGUGUAAGUCACCUUACGAAAAUCAGAUUUUCCCAAAACAUUUAGGCGCCGUUCAUUAAUUUCUCAUCUCGAUUCCCUCCCAGCCUUGUUCGCCAGCCAGCUUUGCCUCCUAUACCUCGUUAUCUUCCAGCGAAAACCCCUCCUCCCGUUUUUCUUUCUCAGACAAUGACCAAUGCAUGCAGCACCUCUAUGCGUUGAUUAGGCGAGAAAUCAAUGCGGCUUUGCAUGCUAGAAGUACGUGGGCAUGCAUGGUAGUUAAUAUGUCAUCCUCUUAAUUAUUGCGAUUAAAUGCUAUGUUUAGAAGAAGGAAAUCAACAUUUUGAUUGGAGUUUUGAUUGGAAGAAGGACCGGUCAAAAUUUUUCUUCUCCUCCAAUCAGCUUGUACCUAGGUUGUGAUGCACCUUCUAAUGUGACUUACACACUUAGACGGAGGGAGUACAAACACGCAUCUUUGGCGCGGAAGCUCGAAUCGUUCAGAAACUCACUACAGCAACAGCAGCACGUAGCAACUUCCAGUUCAAACCACGAUUGCUUCAUUUCUUUUUUCAAGCUCAGUUAAUGCUAUAUUCGUGGGGUCAUACGUGGAGAUCCGUGUAAUUUUUUCUUUUCAGUUUUUUUCUUUUCACAUGUUUUUUUUUGCAAUAUCUUUUCACAUGUUAUGUCACUUGACUUUGACUUGGUUAAGUCUCAUAUUGCUUAUCUCUUGAAGUCAAACUUUGUAAAAUUUCAUCAACCUUAUGUAAAAUAUCAAUAUCUAUAAUAUCAAAUAAUAUGGACAAUAUAUUUUGUGAUGGAUGCGACAUUGAUUUGGUAUUUUGACAUGAUAAAUUUCUUUCUUUCUAAAAACUUGGUCAAAUUUAGAAAGUUUGACUUAAGACCAAAUUUACAUGCAAAAUAAAAAGAAAUGGAGAGAGUAGUACUUACUACAGAUUGCAGGUUGACGCAUCAAAGUAUAUGACACUGCUGACUUCCAUGUUUAUUUGAUCAAAUAGACACUCCCUCCGUUUCAAUGUCUACAAUACAGAAUCAUUAUUUUCAAUGUCUACUAGCGUCUUCGUUCCAAAUACAGAAUCAUUAUCACUAGAAUCACCAUUAAAUAUUUUUUAUUUUUUUUAUUUUUUAGUAUUGCAGAUAUUGAUAUGUUUUGCUUUAAACUUGAUCCAACAUCAAAAUGUUUGACUUCUUAAAAAACUAAUGCACCUUGUAUUUUGAAACUGAUUGAGUAUGACAAAAACAUGUGACUCAUGACAUUGUACAAACUAACGCGACCUUUUAGUUUAAGAGUAUGGAAUACACACCAAGAACAGAUGUAGUAAAAACUUGAUGUUUCCCGAAUUGGUGGAAGCAAUAAGAGAAUUCAUAAAUGAGUGGACAUAAUAAAGCUUCAUCUCAUUUUCAGUGAAAGCUCCACCGGAGUUGGCAACUCCAAGGACAACGCUGUAAACCGGAUGACACCGUAAUCUUUUCUGGGUCAUGUCCCAUUUCGCCAUGCAUCCAACGGUUAUAAGAUGUUCAUAUACUCCACAUGAAACGUUACUGUCUGAGCUUGUUGUGUCCCCGUGGAGAAAAUCUACGCAUAUAUAACAUCCAUUUUCCAAGUAUCAUGGUCGCAUGGAUGUUCUUUCUUUUACACUUAAGGUCUCCUUUUAUUCAACAACGAGUAGCAUUACAUUGUUGACAAGAAUUUGGAUUAGCACCCAAGGCGCGUCAUUCAUCCAAGUACCAUGUGUAGAAGAUCUAGCUAAUAUAGCUAAUUCAUGUGCGGUUGCAUUAGCCUCUCUAGGACAGUGAUCAUGGAAUGAGUAAAUCAAGAGACAUGUUGUACGUAGCAAUCUUCAAAUAAAGCACUCGUGACGCCGGACGAUGAUGCGCCUUCCAGCAUUGUCGUAAUCACCUCCAUGCUAUCUAAAUUCACUUCAAGAUUGUUGCACCCAAUUGUGUGUGCAAGAUUAACCCCAUAUCUCAGUGUUGUGGCUUCGGCCGUGAAAGCGUCAAAACAAACAUCAACUCUUUGAUUUUCAGCAACAACGAUUUUUCCCAUACAAUCUCGAAUGACAGGUGCUACAGAUGCCUGGAGAGUAUCAAGGUCAAACAAUGUAUCCACAUUGAGCUUUAAAUAACCAUGGACCGGCUUGGUCCAUCCUGCAUGCUUCAUAAUUGGUUUGAGGUAGCUUGCUAAUGUGAAGUUUGCUGCCAAUUCUCUUACUGCAAGAUGAAUUUGACUCAGUGUUUGUAUCGACUGGCCAUGCAAGAGUUUCCUCUGCUCCCACACAUACCAAGAUGCAAUAACAAUAAUUUAUCGGGAUGCAUGUCCUAAAAUCAUCGCUUCUUGAUCAAGGAAGUUCAAUAAAUAUUCCAGUGUCUCCUCCCAGGACAAGCCAGAGACACAUGAUUUAUGGAUGAUAUCACCAAGUCCCGAGGGAUUUCACACUUCACUAGCCAAAGAGUAUUCAAAUAGAAGAUGUUUAACAUCCUCACUCCUCAGCCCAUAAUUUGCAAAUGGGACAACGAGGAGACACCUUUAUAUGUCUAUCAACAAGAUUUGCACGACAGGGAUUUGCCCCUUUCAAUUGCCCUCCACAAAAAAAAAAAUUACCUUGGCCGGACACUGCAGGUUCCAAACUAAAUCCCACAUACCGUUAUGCCUCGAUGCUUCAAUAUUAUUCUCAUUAGAUAUUUUAUCCAAUGUACCAUCCAUCUUUAUGAACUCUCCUAUUUUUGUUGGAUGCAAACUUUCAUAGGCAAUCAAAACAUUGUUAGUAAUUAACCGUCCCGGAACAGGGGCAUUCUUGCCGACCCAUGUGUUGUUGGUUGCUGUAAAAAAGGGUAUAGCAAAGCUUUUCAAUCUGAAAAAGAUGUUCUUCUAUGGUGGCACAACCAAUAAAAAACAUAAGUUUUCUAUAUCUUGAGAGAAUCCUGGAGAAUCUAAAUAGCUAGCGCCACUAACAUAUUUAUCUCUACUAGUCAAUGUGUACGUGCAAUGCGCGUUAAUUUGGAAGUAUAUUAAGUGCAUGUUGAUAUUAAGUAAGAUAUUAUUUGUGUGUUAUUAUGUGAUUAGCAUUAUAUUUGGCAUGAAAUUAACUGAACGCUAAACGUGUUGAGCGCUCGACAUUGAAGUGGUCUAGGUCGUCGGAUUGACAUGAUUCGAUGGCCGAGAUUAAUUGGGUCUGCCCCUUUGGGUCUUUUUAUAUUGGUAUAGAUGAAGCAUUGUUAUUUUCACCGCAAAAAAAAAA